CCUACGGGAGGCAGCAGUGAGGAAUAUUGGGCAAUGGGGGCAACCCUGACCCAGCCAUGCCGCGUGAGUGAAGAAGGUCUUCGGAUUGUAAAGCUCUUUCGGACGUGACGAGGAUGACGGUAGCUUCUAAAGAAUCCCCGGCAAACUCCGUGCAAGCAGCCGCGGUAAUACGAAGGGGGCGAUCGUUGUUUGGAAUUACUGGGCGUAACGGGAGUGUAGGCGGUUAUGUAAGAUAGCGGUGAAAUGCCGGGGCUAAACCCCGGAACUGCCAUGAUGAAUAUGUAUCUAGAGUAAUGGAGAGGAGAGCGGAAUACCCAGUGUAGAGGUGAAAUUCGUAGAUAUUGGGUAGAACACCAGUGGCGAAGGCGGCUAUCUGGCCAUUUACUGACGCUGAGGCUCGAAAGCAUGGGGAUCAAACAGGAUUAGAUACCCGGGUAGUC
rnacentral:rRNA from 1 species